CUUGGUCAUUUAGAGGAAGUAAAAGUCAUAACAAGGUUUCCGUAGGUGAACCUGCGGAAGGAUCAUUAAUAAUGCCCUCUGGCUUCGGUCAGCUGGGUUCAAUGUGUGUCAUCUCUUCGGAGAUGGCCAUCCACACACACCGUGAACUGUGACUUCGGUCAUCACAAACUUUUAGUAAUGAAUGUAAAAAUCAUAACAAAAUAAAACUUUUAACAACGGAUCUCUUGGCUCUCGCAUCGACGAAGAACGCAGCGAAAUGCGAUAAGUAAUGUGAAUUGCAGAAUUCAGUGAAUCAUCGAAUCUUUGAACGCACCUUGCGCCCUUUGGUAUUCCGAAGGGCAUGCCUGUUUGAGUGUCAUGAAACCUCACUCCACUUGGGUUUUUGCCUGAGUGGUAGUGUAUUGGGUGUUGCCUUGCCAAAGGCUCGCCUUAAAAGAAUAAGCACCUUGGAUGUAAUACGUUUCAUCCUUUCGGGUGGCUAAUAACCCCACAUAACUCAUGAUCUGGCCUCAAAUCAGGUAGGGCUACCCGCUGAACUUAAGCAUAUCAAUAAGCGGAGGAAAAGAAACUAACUAGGAUUCCCUUAGUAACGGCGAGUGAACCGGGAUGAGCUCAAAUUUGAAAUCUGGCGUCUUUCAGGCGUCCGAGUUGUAAUCUAUAGAGGCGUUUUCCGCGCCGGACCGCGUCCAAGUCUCUUGGAAUAGAGUAUCAAAGAGGGUGACAAUCCCGUACUUGACGCGACAACCGGUGCUCUGUGAUACGUUCUCAACGAGUCGAGUUGUUUGGGAAU
rnacentral:sRNA from 1 species